rfam:Roseovarius mucosus DSM 17069 Contig283_ParA, whole genome shotgun sequence.
GCAUAUCCGUUGGGGUGCCCGUGUGCAGGGCUGAGAGGUGUAAAGCCAACCCAUCGAACCUGAUCCGGGUGAUGCCGGCGUAGGGAACGGACCUUAGCACGCC